AGCAGCCGCGGUAAUUCCAGCUCCAAUAGCGUAUAUUAAAGUUGUUGCAGUUAAAAAGCUCGUAGUUGAACUUCGGGAUUUGCUCAUUGGUCAGGCUUCACUGUCUGUACUGGUGUAACGAAUUCCUACUUUCUGACGAAUCUUCAUGCCAUUCACUUGGUGCGGAGGGGAAUCAGGACUGUUACUUUGAAAAAUUAGAGUGUUUAAAGCAGGCUAUUGCUCGAAUACAUUAGCAUGGAAUAAUAGAAUAGGACGGUUGGUUCUAUUUUGUUGGUUUCUAGGAUCACCGUAAUGAUUAAUAGGGAUAGUUGGGGGCAUUAGUAUUCAAUUGUCAGAGGUGAAAUUCUUGGAUUUAUUGAAGACUAACUACUGCGAAAGCAUUUGCCAAGGAUGUUUUCAUUAAUCAAGAACGAAAGUUAGGGGAUCGAAGACGAUCAGAUACCGUGUAGU
rnacentral:rRNA from 1 species